GAGGUUAUGGCUCAGUGGUAGAGCACUCGCCUUGCAUGUGAGAGACCCUGGGUUCCAUCCUCAGUACCACA
rnacentral:tRNA from 1 species